rnacentral:rRNA from 1 species
GUGAAACGCUGGCGGCGUGCUUAAACACAUGCAAGUCGAACGCGAAAGGGUAGCAAUUAUCCGAGUAGAGUGGCGAACGGGUGAGUAAUGUGUUGGGUAAUCUGCCUUCGAGCGGGGGAUAAACCUGGCGAAAAGCCGGGCUAAUACCGCGUAACGUUAUCGGCUUUUCGGAGUUGAUAAUCAAAAGGACGGGGCUCCCGUAAGGGACCUGUCGCCUCGAAGAUGAGCUCACAUCCCUAUCACGCUUGUUGGUGAGGUAAACGGCCCACCAAGGCGACGACGGGUAGCCGGCCUGAGAGGGUGUCCCGGCCACACUGGAAACUGAAGAUACGGUCCAGGACUCCUACGGGAGGCAGCAGUGGGGAAUUUUUCGCAAUGGGCGCAAGCCUGACGAAGCAAACGCCGCGUGGAGGAUGAAGGCCCUCGCGGUCCGUAAACUCCUGUCUAGCGGGACGAAAGUCCCACUGGGUGAAUAAUCCCAGAGGAUUGACUGUACCGCUGGAGGGAAGCUCCGGCCAACUCCGUGCCCAGCAGCCGCGGUAAAUACGGAGGGGAGCAAGCGUUUACUCGGAAUUAUUGGGCGUAAAAGGGCGCGUAGGCGUUCCCCGCAAGUCAAUUGUGAAAAGCCCCGAGCUUAACUCGGGAAGUGCAGUUGAUACUGCGGGAAUUGAGUUUCCGGAGAGGGAAGAUGGGAAUUCCCGGUUGUAGCGGUGAAAUGCGUAGAUAUCGGGAGGAACACCAGUGGGCGAAGGCGAAUCUUCUGGACGGAUACUGGACGCCUGAGGCGCGAAAGCUAGGGGGAGGCAAAACAGGAUUAGAUACCCCUGGUAGUCCCUAGCUUGUAAAACAAUGUUGCACUUGGCGCAAAGCCCAGCCGGGUUUUUGUGUCGUAAGCUUAAACGCGAUAAGUGCACCGGCCCUGGGGAGUACGGUCCGCAAGGCUGAAACUCAAAGGAAUUGACGGGGGGCCCGCACAAGCGGUGUGGAGCAUGUGGUUCAAUUCGAUGCAACGCGAAGAACCUUACCAGGGUUUUUGAACUGUAUCUGAAAAAAUUCAGAGAUGAGUUUCCUCUAGCAAUAGGACAGAUAUAGAGGUGCUGCAUAGCUGUCGUCAAGCUCGUGUCGUGAGAUGUUGGGUUAAGUCCCCGCAAACGAGCGCAAACCCUUGCUCUUAGUUUGCUCGCGAGAGCUCUCUAAGAGGACUGCUGGUGAUAAAACCGGAGGAAGGCGGGGGAUGACGGUCAAGUCAUCAUGGCCUUUAUGCCCUGGGCUACACACGUGCUACAAUGGGCUGGUACAAAAGGGUUUGCCAAACCGCAAGGUGGAGCCAAUCCCAUCAAAGCCGGCCUCAGUUUCGGAUUGCACUCUGCAAACUCGAGUGCAUGAAGUUUGGAAUCGCUAGUAAUCGCGGAUCAGCAUGCCGCGGUGAAUACGUUUUCCGGGCCUUGUACACAACCGCCCGUCACACACCACGAAAGUGGUUUGUACCCGAAGUCCCCAAUUCAACCCCCUUUGGGAGAUAGGGGCCGAAAGGUAUGAAUCAUGAUUGGGGUG